ensembl:lncRNA
CAGCAUGCUAAAUUAUAGAUGAGAAAGGCAGAAUAUAUAGACAGUCUGUCUCACAAAAAGCCAGAACCAAAUAAAAGGCACGCUCCAGCCAAAGGACAAGCUGAUAACAGAAAAUCUGGUUUACUUCUGAGCUGGCCUGAAACAAAGGGCUGAACUCACAGCUAAGGAAGAACGAUGAAAGAGACCAAGCCCAGAAAGCAUGGAAGGAAUGUGCAUCUUCAGGCUCCCCCUGUGAGCUGCUCCAAGGAGCUUUACCUUCCACGUGAACGACCUGCUGGCCUCCCUGCUCCCAUCCAAAAUGUAUCCUCCAGAUUAUAAUCCCUUCAAGAGCCAUCGGUACCCGAAGACCAAAGGGAAAUUACAACUUUGUGGAGCUUGAGAGCAUGGAGAUCCCUAAAGACAGAACUUCAGAACUCAACCAAAUCUUCUUCAAGGCAAUACAAGCACUGUGCUGAGGAGCUAUCAGACAGCUAAACCGUAAGAUGACAGCUCCAUUCCAGUUGUUAUACUUCAGACUCAGCUCUUGAGGAAUAUACAAAGAUAAAGAUGCCACAGAUGCUGCUUAAUAACGGCGCAGUAGGAUCGAGCAGAGAGAAAAGAUGAACAAUAUUAUGGAAAUGAAACGAUGAUACUUUAUACUUCAAAAGAAUGGAAUACAAAGCUGACAUUUCACUGCUGGACUUGAGGAAUUAGUCAUCGUUACUUAAUAGCAAUUGGAAUAGCCUAGCAAAGGAUGUAUCACAUGAAAAAACAUCCCAAUCUUGGCUGAAUUUUAACUGUAUCAAUUAAAGUUGCACGACAGAUAGAAAAGCUUAUUUCAGAUAAAAAUCUCUUUCUUCUGCACAUGUAUGAAAGAAGUGUGAGGACACAGUCUAUCCUUCAUUGAUCAGGGAAAUGAAGGAGCCAAUAGCCCAGAAAGACAUGCAGAGUUGAAAGCGUAGACCACCUCACUCUGCAGACCAGAUUUUGCAUUGGAAAAGACUUCUUUUGUUUCUGGCUUUCACUUUGCUCCUUGCCAUCCACCUUCCUGUCAACCUAUGGGUUACAUCAUUCAUUCAAAGCAACUCAAGUCCAGGUUGUCUUGGGACUGCUUGGUCCCAACAGCCACUGACCCGGUGACUUUACUUCCAGAAGCUGCCCACUGUUUCCCAGAAGUGACGUUCCUUGACUGGAGCCAAUGACCUGGAUCUGUCCCCUCUCCUGGAGCCAGUCCCAGCAGCAGAGAUGUGCCAGGAGCAUCCCUGCCAGCAUGACCAGUCUGCUUGUCCUGUGCACAAUGAGGAAAGAGCUCUCUUCUAGCACGUGUGGUCCUGAGCUACUGAGCCACAAGGACAGACCAACAUCUGAAUCAACAGAGGCAAAGCCAUACAGAAGAAAAGCUAAUGUGCUCCUACCUUUUCUCAGCUGUAUUAUUUACUUGACUCCAAUGAUUCCAUCAUAUUGAAAAAUCAAUGGCGUUUUAGAAGUGUAAAACCAAGGAAAAGCUGUAUGGAUUCUGACUAUUUUGAACUACUUCUCUGAAAGGGUGGUCAGGCACUGGAAUGGGCUGCCCAGAGAGGUGGUGGAGUCACCGAGCCUGGUGGUGUUCAAAGAGCGUUUGGAUGUUGUGUUGAGGGACAUGGUUUAGUGAGAACCAUUGGUGAAGGGCGAGUGGUUGGACUGGAUGAUCCUGUGGGGCUUUUCCAACCUCAGCGAUUCUGUGAUUCUAUGAAGCUUUACAGAUGCUUGCUGACCUAACAUGGGAGGAGUAUCAUUAUUUUAUUGACGAAACUCUUUUUUUUUUGUUGUUGUUUUAAUAUGGAAAAUCUCAGUGGCACUUCACUCCAUUUGUCUUUUUUUUUUUUUUUUUCCUUUUUAGUCAUAUGAUAAUGUACACUUAUAACCAGUGAAUCAUCCCCCCAAAAAGUCAUAAAGAGAAAAAUAGCUCAUAUGUAUGCCUCAGCGGCCAAUGAAUCAUUGACGACAGGUAUAAUGGGAAUAAUUACAUACUGUUGAGAAACUUUACUCAAAGCCCAGCUCAGAAGGCUAGUUUCAAAACUUCUGAGUUAUGCAGUUGGAUCCAAGGUUGAGAGUGCCAGGUUAGGAAACAGCCAGGAGAAUUUCAGAUUUGUGUUACUGCAAGGAAAUAUCCUCUCCAAGAGUCUGUUAUGUGUUGACAAAUUGUUUAUACUUAAUGAAGCAAUAAUAAUGAAUAGUCUAAAUAGGC